CCUACGGGAGGCAGCAGCCUACGGGAGGCAGCAGUGGGGAAUAUUGCACAAUGGGCGCAAGCCUGAUGCAGCCAUGCCGCGUGUAUGAAGAAGGCCUUCGGGUUGUAAAGUACUUUCAGCGGGGAGGAAGGCGAUAAGGUUAAUAACCUUGUCGAUUGACGUUACCCGCAGAAGAAGCACCGGCUAACUCCGUGCCAGCAGCCGCGGUAAU
rnacentral:rRNA from 1 species